rnacentral:tRNA from 1 species
GAGGGUAUAGCUCAGUGGUAGAAUGCAUGCUUAGCAAGCAAAAGGUCCUGGGUUCAAUCCCCAGUACCACCG